rnacentral:sRNA from 1 species
GUCUACCCAGGAACUGACCUUGCUCUCUCUUUUCGCUGUUAGACAUGUGACUGCAGUGUACUCUCAAUGAGGAAGAUAUAGAUACGAAAAGAACUAGAGCCGUAUCAUAUGGGGACUUCUACAAAUACAGAGACUCGGAUUAAAGGGCACUCCACAGAAGGAUGUUAUUAUCAAGUCAGAUGCACCAGACACUCUCUUAUUGGAGAAACAUGCAGAUUAUAUCGCAUCCUAUGGCUCAAAAAAAGAUGAUUAUGAAUACUGUAUGUCUGAGUAUUUGAGAAUGAGUGGCAUCUAUUGGGGUCUAACAGUAAUGGAUCUCAUGGGACAACUUCAUCGCAUGAAUAGAGAAGAGAUUCUGGCAUUUAUUAAGUCUUGCCAACAUGAAUGUGGUGGAAUAAGUGCUAGUAUCGGACAUGAUCCUCAUCUUUUAUACACUCUUAGUGCUGUCCAGAUUCUUACGCUGUAUGACAGUAUUAAUGUUAUCGAUGUAAAUAAAGUUGUGGAAUAUGUUAAAGGUCUACAGAAAGAAGAUGGUUCUUUUGCUGGAGAUAUUUGGGGAGAAAUUGACACAAGAUUCUCUUUUUGUGCGGUGGCAACUUUGGCUUUGUUGGGGAAGCUUGAUGCUAUUAAUGUGGAAAAGGCAAUCGAAUUUGUUUUAUCCUGUAUGAACUUUGACGGUGGAUUUGGUUGCAGACCAGGUUCUGAAUCCCAUGCUGGGCAG